UACGUAGGGGCCUAGCGUUGUCCGGAUUUAUUGGGCGUAAAGAGCGUGUAGGCGGUUUGGUAGGUCCGCUGUGAAAACUCGAGGCUCAACCUCGAGACGCCGGUGGAAACCAUCAGGCUAGAGUCCGGAAGAGGAGAGUGGAAUUCCUGGUGUAGCGGUGAAAUGCGCAGAUAUCAGGAGGAACACCGGUGGCGAAGGCGGGUCUCUGGGCAACAACUGACGCUGAGGAGCGAAAGCGUGGGGAGCGAACAGG
rnacentral:rRNA from 1 species